ACCUGGUAGCGUUCCGGUGCUUUGUCGCUUUGUCUCCUCGACUAUUCCGGCUUUAAUGAAAUUUUCAUUAGAAAAUGUAAUGUUCCAAAGUAAGUACUAUUAUUUUUAUUAUAACAACAUAAUCUGUUGAUUGUGUCGAUAUCUCAAUAGCACAUUUCAACGUUUUAUAGACGAAUACAAGCCAAAAAGAAACGCACAUCAAGUCAUAAGCAUGGGUCGACAUCGGCGGUAGUACGAUAGACAUCAAUGGUGAACGUUUUGAAUAUUGCGUGAGUAUUUAUAUCAUUGUAAAUCGUUUUGAUAUUUAUCAAAUUAAUUUUUCAUAAUUUGUUUUCAUUAAUAUUGUUUUAAAUUUAAAAAAAAUGUUAUAACCACACGAGGACCCUAGUAACUUUAUUGAUUUUUUUUUUUAACAUGCAGUAUACCUACCAUAUAUGUAAUUACUCUACUGGUGUUCACUUUCAACUAAUAUUUUGACCCAUUCAAAUUCAAAACAUUUUAUAAUUUCGUAGUACACAUAGAUUGUAAUAUUUAUUAUUAAAAAAUAAAAUUGUAAUGUGUAGUUGUCAUGGGUUUAAGUAGGUCUUGGAUUUAUUAUGCUUGUGCAUGUUUUUUUUUUAACAGUCAAAAAGUAGCUAGAUAAGCUACAAGUUAGAAUUAUAAUCAAUAGUUCCAAAAUACAAAGUUUUAUUUUGCAUAUUUUGUCAUUUUUUGAUGUGUACUGCAUAUUUUUGUAUUUUACAAUUUUUUAUUGCAUUAUAGUCUAAUACCUAAGUGCUUCAAACCUAUCUGUUUUACUAUUGUUUGUUGGUUUUACCCACCUAUACUUGUGGUCCGCAAGGAAUUUGUUUUCUAAUAAUAUCUAAUCACUUCUAGAUAAAGUAAAUUCAGUCGUCAUUAGUUGAAAUCAUUUUUGAAUGUAUAUUUUAAUGAUCAAUGUAUAAACACAUGCAUAUUUUGUAUAUUUUUGGUGCCAUAAUUCGUUAUAAGGUAUCAAAUAAUACAGUACAAUAUUUAAACAUUUAUUUAUUAGCUAUCCAGAUUUGAUAGUUGAAGUGUAUAUACUUUGUAUAGGUACCUAAUAGUGAUAUACUAAUAGUGAUUUCUCAGUGUAUCUUUCAAAAACUCCAAAUUGAACACGGUAUUUUUAUUAACAUUUAUAAUGAUAUUGGUACUUGUUUUAGUAUUCUACUAAAAACUAAUCAAUUAUUGAUUCUUCUGUUUCAAAAUUAUUUUGGGUUGGUUAUGUACUUCAAUGAUGUACACGUGAUUGAUCCACUGUAUUAAAUUAAUUGUGUACAUCUAUCUUUAUGGAUUGAUAAUAAACAAGUAUUAAACGCUCACACAGAAGAUUUUAACGAUCACUUACUAUUGUUUAAAUAUCUAAAAGCAUAUUAUAUUUCUAGGUAUAUAAUUAUCUAUUAUAUAGAUAUUAUUUUUUUAACAAUAAUUAAUCUUCAUAUCAAUAUUCAGGUUUUUUUUGAUAUUUCGAAGAUAAGAAAAAUGUUGUAAUCUCUUCUUUGGCCUUCCAUUACCUCUUUUUCGUCUUAUUUUUUUAUUUCUUGAUCUACUCAAAUUAUUUUAAUUUUGUCAUUCAUUUGGUAUUAUAUUGGCAUUACACCUAGUGUCUUAAAUUUCCUUUUAUACUUUAUUACUUCUUUAUUAAUGAAUUUGUUACAAAUUAUAUUUCGAUUGGGUGUAGAUACAAUAGUAUAAUUUAAUAUUGCUUAUUUAGUUAGAUGUACUAUAUGCAUAUAGUUUGUACAAUUUAUCUAAAUAAUAUUAUAUAUUUUUAUUAAUAUUUAGGUAUACAAGAUAUCUCAUAAAGAUAUAAUUGUUGUGAUAUCUUGGAAAAUUUAAACUUUUUUAGAAUUUUGUUUUAUAAAUUAAGGAAUAAGUAGCAUUGAAAUGUGCACACGUGGCUGUUUUUAUGUAUAUGUGGGGCAACAGACAAAAUAAUUAUAUACAUUCCCUUUAUUUUAUGUUCCCUUAUUUUUGGGGGUGAACUGACUACCUACUUUUGAUUUUCAAAUAGAGACCCGUAUUUUAAAAAUUCCCUAAAUAAAGAGAAUAUUAAUUAAAAUAAAUUUUACUGUUGAUAUUUUUGAUUUCCGGCUACCCGUUGGCAAGGCAUUUCACUUUUAGUUAUGUGUAGCGAGAGAGUAGCGUAGUACUGUCAAACGAUAUGUUGACACACAAAUUUUACUUAAUUUUUUUUCCUCCUCUCAUCUUAAAAGUGGAAUAUCUUGUUAACAAGUUGAUGGAAUCAAAAAUAAAAAUAAAAAUAAAUGAUACUGGAGACAGGUUGCGACCACUGUUGUACUAGUAUUUUUGUCAAAAUUUAAUAUUAAAGUUCUUUUAAAAAGAAAACCAAAAUUAAAUUCAACUCUUGUAUUUUUUUUUUUGUUGACAACGUAUAAUCAAUCUCAUCAUUCAAAUUUUCAAGCAUUUCUCUCAAGUCUAACAAUUUUAUCCACUUAAUCUAAAUAUCUAUAAUUAGCUCAAAAAUGUUUUUAAAGUUUUAAAAUGUUUAGAAAAAGUCAAAUAAAAGUUUUCUGUAAAGUCUACGAAUAUUUCUAACUAAACUACAUUACAAAAAUAAAAUUUAAAAUAAUAAUAGAAUUAAUUUUGUAAAUUUUUUCCAUUCUUUCUACAUAUUUUUCGGUUUUGCUGAUUAUUAAUGAAAUUACUUUUUUGGUCAACAACUAGAUUAAAAAUUCAACAAAAAAGAUUUCCAUUAGCUUUUCUACUAGCAUUAUUUCUGAUAAAAAAAAACAUUCUGUAAACAUUUAAAAUAAAGGAAUCUUAGCAUUAAUUUAAAAAAAUAUUUAUUUUUGUCUUCCUUAGUUUUUCCUAAUUAUCGUGAAAACUAUUUCAUAUAUCAACAAAUUACUUUGUCUAUCAGUGUUUAUGGUUUGUCAUAGUUUUGAUUAGAGCAAUAUUAUAGGUAGAAAACAUUGUGUUAACAAAUUGAGAACUAUGAAAACAAUAAUGCUGUAGCGUGUCUUUAAUAUUAAUAUUUUGCCUAUAAUUUUCUUUAGGGUUUCUCAAAUUACUUGAAAACCCUUUGGACAAUCAAAAACUUGACAUCUUUAAUGAGCCAACUAGACAAAAUUUCUGUUCAGAAAGAAUACUUUACAUCAAAACAAUAUUUCUUUUCGAAAAGUUGUUUACAGACAGAAAAAAAAAAUCGUAUAGUAAAACCAAUAAAUCCUUUGUAAUGCUUUGAAUCUAAAAAUAAAAUGAAAUAGCUUUCAUUCUGUAUAGAUAGGACAGGCAUAAGCAGCUGGCAGUAUCAUUUUUAACCUACUUGAGUUUUACAAAUAUUUUAGUAAUACUUGUACAUUUGGUUUUGAUUUGACUAGUUUUUUAUUUUUCAUUUAGUAUAUUAUUUUUAUACAUAUACCUUAUUUCAAAAUAGAACAUACCGCUUUCGCGACCAGUUUUCGUUCAGCUGCGCACAUCCCUUCCAGGUUAGGUUUUCUUUUGAAACAGAGUAUAGAUAAUAUUUUUUAGAAUUAAUAUAAUUAAAUUGUUUUAGUCUUUUUUUCAACUUUACACUAAAUGCAUUUUUUUUUUUUGUUUACAGAUAAUGUUGUGUGUUAGUUUAUUAACAUCGUGCAAAAUACAAUAUUGAACAUUUUAAUGAAGGUAAAAAUUUAUAAUUUAUAUUUAAUUACGUAAACUUGUAUUAUUGAUACAUUAUUAUUUUAUAUUGUGUGCAUUUUAAUUUAAUUUUUUGGGUUUGUACUAAAUGUGAACUAAAGUAAUCUUUCAAAUUAAUUACAAAUUAUAACUAGUAAUACACUAAAAUAGUAUUGUUACUAUGUUAAACACAUAUGGUAUAGAUUUUUAAUUAUUAAGUAAGAAGAUUUUAAAUAAAACAAUAAAAAAUAUUAAAAUUGUACAUUUUAAUGAGUUAACUAUGUUCAAUGAGAGAAAACUAAGUAUACAUGUUGGAGUGUCAAUGUUUAGGUAAAUAUUAGAUAUUGAUGAUUUGUGUACUAUUUCUUUUGCCGUGUGUAGAUAAUUAAUUUAUACUAUAUUUGAUAUACCUUUAUCAAUUAGACUAAGUGUAAUUUUGUAAGAGUUAUUAUGACCAUUUUGAAAUGUAUAAAACACUGUAACUAUUAUUAUGUAUUUUUGUUCUAUUUUAAUUAGUUGCAUAAAAUGAUCUAAGCUU